rnacentral:rRNA from 1 species
ACAAUGCGCGAAAGCGCGAUAAGGAGACCCUGAGUGCUAGCACAUAGUGCUGGCUGUCCAGCUGUUUAAAAAGCAGUUGUUAGCAAGGGCCGGGCAAGACCGGUGCCAGCCGCCGCGGUAACACCGGCGGCCCGAGUGGUAACCGAUUUUAUUGGGCUUAAAGCGUUCGUAGCCGGUUUAGUAAGUUUCUUAGGAAAUCUAGCAGCUUAACUGUUAGACGUCUAAGAGAUACUGCUAUGACUUGGGACCGGGAGAGGUAGGAGGUACUCCAAGGGUAGGGGUGAAAUCUUGUAAUCCCUGGGGGACCGUCGAUGGCGAAGGCAUCCUACCAGAACGGGUUCGACGGUGAGGGACGAAAGCUGGGGGCACAAACCGGAUUAGAUACCCGGGUAGUCCCAGCUGUAAACGAUGCUCGCUAGGUGUCAGAUACGGUGCGUCCGUAUUUGGUGCCGUAGGGAAACCGUGAAGCG